rnacentral:ncRNA from 2 species
UAUAACUAACGAGGAUGGGUGAAAUUCCCUACCGGUGGUAAAGUCCACAAAUCCAAUUAUUUGGGUUGAUCUGAUGUAAUGCAGAACCGACAGUAAAGUCUGGAAGGGAGUUAGGUAUA